GAGAAGAAAGAAAAAA
rnacentral:sRNA from 1 species